UGAGGAAUAUUGCACAAUGGGCGGAAGCCUGAUGCAGCAACGCCGCGUGGAGGACGACGGCCUUCGGGUUGUAAACUCCUUUUCCGGGGGACGAGCGAGGACGGUACCCUGGGAAUAAGUCUCGGCUAACUACGUGCCAGCAGCCGCGGUAAAACGUAGGAGGCGAGCGUUAUCCGGAUUUACUGGGCGUAAAGCGCACGCAGGUGGGUCUGCAGGUCGGACAUGAAAGCUCCUGGCUUAACUGGGAGAGGUGGUUCGAAACCGCAGGGCUUGAGGUUGGGAGAGGGACGUGGAAUUCCCGGUGUAGUGGUGGAAUGCGUAGAUAUCGGGAGGAACACCAGUGGCGCAAGCGGCGUCCUGGCCCACACCUGACGCUGAGGUGCGAAAGCGUGGGGAGCAAACAGG
rnacentral:rRNA from 1 species